GUGUGGGCGGCGGCGCGGGCGGCGCGGCGCAGCGCGGCGCCAGCAGCAGGUGGUAGAGCGCCAGGUAGAGGUGUCGAGUGUACCUUGCAGCAGGUGUGUGGGCGGCGGCGCGGGCGGCGCGGCGCAGCGCGGCGCCAGCAGCAGGUGGUAGAGCGCCAGGUAGAGGUGUCGAGUGUACCUUGCAGCAGGUGUGUGGGCGGCGGCGCGGGCGGCGCGGCGCAGCGCGGCGCCAGCAGCAGGUGGUAGAGCGCCAGGUAGAGGUGUCGAGUGUACCUUGCAGCAGGUGUGUGGGCGGCGGCGCGGGCGGCGCGGCGCAGCGCGGCGCCAGCAGCAGGUGGUAGAGCGCCAGGUAGAGGUGUCGAGUGUACCUUGCAGCAGGUGUGUGGGCGGCGGCGCGGGCGGCGCGGCGCAGCGCGGCGCCAGCAGCAGGUGGUAGAGCGCCAGGUAGAGGUGUCGAGUGUACCUUGCAGCAGGUGUGUGGGCGGCGGCGCGGGCGGCGCGGCGCAGCGCGGCG